UACGUAGGGGGCAAGCGUUGUCCGGAUUUAUUGGGCUUAAAGGGUGCGUAGGCGGCCCUGUAAGUCAGUGGUGAAAUACUCUAGCUUAACUAGAGGGGUGCCAAUGAUACUGCAGGGCUUGAGUACAGAUGAGGUAGGCGGAAUUGACGGUGUAGCGGUGAAAUGCAUAGAUAUCGUCAAGAACACCUAUAGCGAAGGCAGCUUACUGGGCUGUAACUGACGCUGAGGCACGAAAGUGUGGGGAGCAAACAGG
rnacentral:rRNA from 1 species